rnacentral:rRNA from 1 species
GCAAGUCGAACGGGGAGUAGCAAUACUUCUAGUGGCGAACGGGUGAGUAACGCGUUGGUGACCUGCCCCGAAGUGUGGGAUAACAGUCCGAAAGGAUUGCUAAUACCGCAUAGUGUCUAGAGGAUUAGAGGCCUAUAGACGAAGGGAGACAUUCGCUUCGGGAGGGACCUGCGUCCCAUCAGCUAGUUGGUAGGGUAACGGCCUACCAAGGCGAUGACGGGUAGGGGACCUGAGAGGGUGGCCCCCCACAAUGGAACUGAAACACGGUCCAUACACCUACGGGUGGCAGCAGCAGGGAAUAUUGCAAAAUGGGCGCAAGCCCGAUGCAGCAACGCCGCGUGGGCGAUGAAGGCCUUCGGGUCGUAAAGCCCUUUUUGAGGGGAUGAGGAAGGACAGUACCCUCAGAAUAAGCCUCGGCUAACUACGUGCCAGCAGCCGCGGUAAAACGUAGGAGGCGAGCGUUAUCCGGAUUUACUGGGCGUAAAGCGCGUGCAGGCGGAUUGGAGAGUUGGAUGUGAAAGCUCCCGGCUUAACUGGGAGAGGUCGUUCAAUACUUCCAGUCUUGAGUGCAGUAGAGGGAAGUGGAAUUCCGGGUGUAGUGGUGAAAUGCGUAGAUAUCCGGAGGAACACCAGUGGCGAAAGCGGCUUCCUGGACUGUAACUGACGCUCAGACGCGAAAGCUAGGGUAGCAAACGGGAUUAGAGACCCCGGUAGUCCUAGCCGUAAACGAUGUAGACUUGGCGUAGUCGGGUUUAAAUCCGACUGUGCCGCAGCUAACGCGAUAAGUCUACCGCC